rnacentral:rRNA from 1 species
AUUGAACGCUGGCGGCAGGCCUAACACAUGCAAGUCGAACGAGAGGCGGACGGGCGAGCAAUGUCUGGGAAACUGUCUGAUGGAGGGGGAUAACUACUGGAAACGGUAGCUAAUACCGCAUACCCUCAGAUGUGCCCAUAUGGGAUUAGCUAGGUGGUGGGGUAACGGCUCACCAAGGCGACGAUUCCUAGCUGGUCUGAGAGGAUGACCAGCCACAUUGGAACUGAGACACGGUCCAGACUCCUACGGGAGGCAGCAGUAGGGAAUAUUCGGCAAUGGGCGCAAGCCGGAUACAGCAAUGCCGCGUGUAUGAAGAAGGCCUUCGGGUUGUAAAGUACUUUCGGUGGGGAGGCGUUACCCGCAGAAGAAGCACCGGCUAACUCCGUGCCAGCAGCCGCGGUAAUAC